CCUACGGAGGGCUGCAGUGGGGAAUAUUGGACAAUGGGGGGAACCCUGAUCCAGCCAUGCCGCGUGUGUGAAGAAGGCCCUCGGGUUGUAAAGCACUUUCAGUGAGGAAGAACGCCUGGUGGUUAAUACCCAUCAGGAAAGACAUCACUCACAGAAGAAGCACCGGCUAACUCCGUGCCAGCAGCCGCGGUAAUACGGAGGGUGCGAGCGUUAAUCGGAAUUACUGGGCGUAAAGCGCGCGUAGGUGGCUUGAUAAGCCGGUUGUGAAAGCCCCGGGCUCAACCUGGGAACGGCAUCCGGAACUGUCAAGCUAGAGUGCAGGAGAGGAAGGUAGAAUUCCCGGUGUAGCGGUGAAAUGCGUAGAGAUCGGGAGGAAUACCAGUGGCGAAGGCGGCCUUCUGGACUGACACUGACACUGAGGUGCGAAAGCGUGGGUAGCAAACAGGAUUAGAUACCCUGGUAGUC
rnacentral:rRNA from 1 species